rnacentral:rRNA from 1 species
GCCUACGGGACGCAGCAGUGGGGAAUCUUGCGCAAUGGGCGAAAGCCUGACGCAGCAACGCCGCGUGUGUGAUGAAGGUCUUCGGAUCGUAAAGCACUGUCGGGAGGGACGAAUAAGGCGGCGGCUAACAUCCGCAGCCGAUGACGGUACCUCCAAAGGAAGCACCGGCUAACUCUGUGCCAGCAGCCGCGGUAAUACAGAGGGUGCUAGCGUUGUUCGGAAUUAUUGGGCGUAAAGCGCGUGUAGGCGGCCUUGCAAGUUGGGUGUGAAAGCCCUCGGCUUAACCGAGGAAGUGCGCCCAAAACUACAAGGCUUGAGUGCCGGAGAGGGUGGCGGAAUUCCCGGUGUAGAGGUGAAAUUCGUAGAUAUCGGGAGGAACACCAGCGGCGAAGGCGGCCACCUGGACGGUAACUGACGCUGAGACGCGAAAGCGUGGGUAGCAAACAGGAUUAGAUACCCGGGUAGUCCC